rnacentral:lncRNA from 1 species
UACACAGAUAAAUUUUCUACUGAUCAAAUAUUCCCAUCACGCGACGAUAUGAUUGAUUGGGUUCGGAAGAUUGCAUUUCAGCUUGGAUUUGUGGUCGUCAUCAUAAGAUCUGAUACAGCAACUGGUGAACCUGGAAGAAAGACAUUCGUUGUGUUAGGUUGUGAAAGGAGUGGGAAAUAUAGGAAGUAUAAGCAAGACGUGCAACCUAGUGUGUCUGGCACGAGAAAAUGUGAGUGUCCAUUCAAGUUGAGGGGUAAACCUAAAGGACACGGUUGGGUGUUAAAGGUUAUGUGUGGUUAUCACAACCAUGAAUUAGCCGAGACUUUGGUCGGUCAUCCUUAUGCGGGGAGGUUAAAUGCUGUUGAAUAGUCAAUUCUUAUUGACAUGACUAAGAGUCAAGUUAAACCCUCAAAUAUUCUUUUGACUCUUAAAGAACAUAAUGAAGAUGACGUGACAACUAUAAAACAAAUAUAUAACGCGAGAUACACUUACAAACNAUCUUUGAGAGGGUCGAGAACUGAAAUGCAACAGUUGAUGAUGUUGUUAGAUAGAGACAAAUACAUCCAACAUAGUAGAUGUUUGGAAGAUUCUGACGUAGUAAGUGGCCUAUUUUGGACACAUCCUGAUUCAGCGCACCUGGUUAAUUCAUUUAAUAUUGUGUUCUUAAUGGAUACGACGUACAAGACAAACAAAUAUCGUCUUCUGUUGCUUGAGAUCGUUGGAGUCACGUCCACUGGUUUGACAUUCACAGCCGNCUUUGCAUUGCUUUCAAGUGAACACCAAAAUAAUUUCACUUGGGCGUUGGAAAUGUUUAGACGAUUACUAUUGACAACAGAGGGCGGUCCACGCGUUGUUGUCACUGAUAGAGACAUUGCUUUGAUAAAUGCCAUUACCAAUGUCUUCCGUGAGACAUAUCAUAUGCUUUGUACAUUCCACAUUAUGAAGAAUGUGAAACCCCGACAUGGAUAUAUAUGGCUCGAUAGCCUCAUGAUACAUUCCAAAAUUUUUUAAUUUUUUACCAUGGGUCCUCAAUUGAAUCUCCCCUCGAUCCUACAUAAAAACACUUAAUUAUAUAACAAAAAUAAAUAAGCAAUUAAUCAACAAUUAACAUUUAGGGUGAUUGCCAACCUGGCCUUGCCAUAUGGCAUAUGCAACAUGCUGGGAAUAGUGUGUAAGCAAGGAGGUGUCAUGUGGACCUCCUGGAAAUCCAUCAUCUUGAACUUCAUCUCCAUCUUCAUCUUCAUCUUCAUCUUCAUCUUCUUCCUCACUAUAGUCAUCCUGCUCUUGAACAUCCUCAUGCUGAACAUAGUCUUCCUCACGAUGCCCCUACUGUAUAGACUUCUCGUGCUCCUCAUAAUGAUGCUCAUCAAUAACGUCCGUGCGAUAUUCCUCUACGCGUCUUCUACGAACAGAAGCCGUAGGUCGUCUCCUUUCAUCAUGUGAUGAAGAUGAUGGUUGACCACGAGACGACGAAGCUUCUCCGUGGGAAGAUGAUGCGCCUCUAGUUCUUAUCAUUUCUAUUAACCAAUUAUAUUAUCAUAUAUUCUAUAAAACAAAAUUAAAAUGAAAAGAAAUAAAAUAACUAAAAAAAUCUAUUAACAAAUAUUGAAACAAAUAAAAAGAAAAAAAAAAUUAAAAUUAAUAAUAUAUUAUAAAAAAAUAACGAAAGUAUUAGUUAUUAUAAUACUUAAAUAAAUAUAAAUAAAAAAAUAUAAUAUUUAACAAAAUCAAAUUUACGCAUAGGAAUAAGGGAUAAUAAUAAUUAUUUAAUUAAUAAAUAAUUUAAUAAAACUUCUAAAUUCAUAAACAAAAUUAUAAAAAAUUAACUAAAAUUAUAUACAUAAUAAAUAAUAUACAAAAAUUAUUUAAAAAUUAUAUACAUAAUAAAUAAUAUACUAAAAUUAUUUACGAAAAUGUAAUUUUGUGAUAAUAAAAAUUAACUAAAAUUAUAUACAUAAUAAAUAAUAUACUAAAAUUAUUUACGAAAAUAUAAUUUUGUGAUAAUAAAAAUUAACUAAAAUUAUAUAAUAUGCUAAAAUUAUUUACGAAAAUAUAGUUUAGAUUAAUAAAAAUUAUUUCAUUCAAUAAAUUAAUUAAUACUUAAUCUAAAAUCAUAAUUAAUACUUAAUCUAAAUUGCAUUAAUAAUAAAUAAUAUAUACAAUUUUAUAAACUUAAAAAAAAUUAACAAACAACCUAAAAUUAAAAAAACAACGUUUUGAAAAAAAAUAAAAAAAAAGGAAAAAGAAAACGCUACUCCUAAACCGCAGUCUCAGCUGCGUUCAUCACCCAACGCAGUCUGAGCUGCGUUUCAUGCCAACCGCAGUUUGAGCUGCGUUUCUGCCGUGACCCCCAAACCAAACCAACCGCAGAUCCAUCGGCGGUUGGUUUCAGACGCUGAUCGAGCUGCGGCACUCCUUAACCGCAAAACGACUUGCGGUUCCACAACGCCCCAAAACGAUCCCAGAUCUACAUCUACCAGAGGAGAAAUACUAACCUCUUAACGCCAGAAAAAAACUUCAAACACUACCCAACUACUCUACUCUGCUACGCUGACAGCCCAAGGUCAAGAUAGCACCAAGUUACGAGCUGCACGGAGAGAUGCACUAGUUGGAGGGAGGGGGGAUGCACUGGUUGGAGGGAGGGAAGGGGAGGAAGACUGGUCAAAGGAAGGGAAGAUGAAAAUAGAGGGUGUAGGGUUUUUUCUCUGAGUUGCGACAGAUAAGGAUACUUUUUAUAAACCCAAUGAAUAGGAUUACAAAUAUAGGAGUACUGGAAUUAAAAGUGAAAUAGAAAGUGCAGGACGAGAUCCAGGAGGUGGAGGGAGAAUUACUCUAUUUUAUUACACAAACAACAAAAACUCAAUCUUCACUUUCAUUACUAUACAUUUAUGAACGUCCACAUAGCGCUAACCAAUAUCUGGCAUGAUGUUUGAAAAAAGUUAGGUGGACAUUCAUUUUUGGAGUAAGUACGUCACUUAAUAUUUUUCUUUCGUUUAACACCAUUCCCCUAAGUACAUCACUUUCCAAUAAGUAACACAGAUAUAUCUUUUAAAAUUUGAUAUUGUGUGAUGUUGGAGAUUUUAAAGCUUAAGCCUAAAUAAUCAUAACCCAAGUCCAACCCAUCAUUGUUCCUCUAUUAUUCAAUCAUAAUAGGCUAGAGUUAACUGACAUAACGCAAAAGCACAAUAUCAAAAUACUUAACACAAGUUGAAAUUAUUGAACAUUUUCGUACUUACAUUGGUGUAUUCAAACAUCUUUUCCUAUCAUAUUUAGGAAGACCAUCCCACAACUCGAUCAUUUUAAGAACAAUGACGUGACAAUCAUUUGGAAUACUUACAACACCAUAUAUACAAAUUAUUUGAUCAAAACACUAAGACAAAUAACUUACAUGUUAGGUUGAAUAGGAGUAGCAAGAUAUUGUACUUUAAAUGUUAGUUUAACAAGAGUUCCAUGUUAUGGGCCUGCACAUAAAUAAGAGAAGUUAAAAUAUGAACUACAUGGUAAAUUAACCAAACUAAUUACAUGUUAAAUAGUUUUUUAUCCUUUUACGUUCCUGUGUGUGUUGUGCCAGAGUGAAUCGAGAAUAAAUAAGUCCACUAGUUGACAUUUUACAACAUAACACUACCCAUGGUUGUCAUUCAGAAUUAGGGCAACCAACUAAAGAACAAUCAAUAUAAAAGUAGGUUCAUCAACAGAUGAAAUUGUUUAAAACUUUAACAAAGUUAAAUAAUGGAUAUAGGUAAAGUAGCUCACAAGUCAAGAUAUCUUCUAGGGUAACCAACCGUCCACAAUAUUGAAGCUGCAAGAUUUAUUCAUAGAUUAAGAUUCUGAUCAUUUUUGUAAUAUCAGAUAAAAAAUGCACAAUGAGAAAAUUUGCGAGGGACAGAAAAGAAAAACAAGAAUGAACGCUGGAAUGUAUAUAUCUGUUGGUGGCUCUAGAACAUGGAUUCAUUACCAUGUGUUAUGCUCUUGGUGCUCUUCAGCGCCACCUGUUACUCCACACCGAAUCAUCAUCUGUUUCCAUUUGACAAGUGUAAACUCCUCUCUCUCGUGUCUUCUCUUCUCGUAUCCGCAGAAGGGAUAUAUAUAUUCCAAGUCUCAACCCAAAACCAAUACAAAAAAGACAUAUAAUCCAUUCUCUUCACCAUGAGCCAGGAGCAGCCUAAGAGACCUCAAGCGGAGAAACAUCCAAUCGAAUA